AUGAAAAAAUGAGAAGAAUUGGUUUUCAUUCAGCCACGGGUAAUUUCGGUCAAAUGAUUCGUCGGCACAAAAUCGACAAAGUUACUUCCAGUGGAGCAAGAGCAACUUACGAGGGACUCAAGCACGAACUGCCAAUGAAGAUGGCAUACGAAGAUGUCAUUGAUGCUUUGAGAUCUGAGCCAAAUUAUCUCAUGCAUGUUCAGGCACUGCGGCGUUGGCCUACAACGCCCAUGUUGGUCCAUGGAUCACUCUCGGUUUUUUCAGGAAAGUCUAUGGCUAUCUAUAAAAACAAUUGUCAACAUAUUUUGUUCGUAUGAAGACUUUUGAACAAACUGGCUUUCACUUUCAACUUUAGGCCGAUGUUGGGUUUAUGCCUGAAUACAACUGCUACACUAUGUUCCUUUCCGGUGAGGAUAUACAUGGAUAAAGAUACCAGUGACUUGACUCUCCGACUUUUGUUCUAGUUGUGGACGUUUUUUCCAAAAUGAUCGCUGCUAGGUCCAUUUUCCGAAAAGAUUUGUCAGCUAUAAAAUGUGCGUUUUUGUCCAUGUUCAAACAGUUGGGUCAACCAGAUCAACUUCACCUUGAUCAGGGCAGUGAAUUUUCCUUAAAAAGUUGGCUUAAUGACCAAGGCAUUUAUCUUAGUGUGAAAACGGCGCCUUUAAAAUGUUCUUUUGCCGAGCAUAGUAUCCAUCUCAUCAAACUGAAAUUAACAAUCUUGCUAAGGACCAAACUGUCUCAAAACUGGCCAAAAUACUUGCCAGAUGUGGUACAAGCCUUAAACGAGCGUCCAAUAAAAAAGUAUAAGGGGCUGAGACCAAUAGGUAUUGCCACCCGAGAGACGGGAGUCAAAGUUGACGAAACCGUGGGAAUUGAAACGCCUAAAUUUUCAAGAACAAAGACAGAACUUUUACAAAUCCAAUCCGAAUAAGCUUCAGGAGGGGAUGUGGGUCUAUGCUACUAGGUGAGGAAAUCAAUCUGAUUUUGAGUAUUUUGACAAAGUAUGUAAAUCCUUUUCAAUUCUUAAAGGGAUCCAGUUUCAUUUCCCAAAGCAACCGAUCUUCAAGGAAACGAACUCUUUCAAAUAGCCAGAGUGCAAGCACAGGACGAACCAGUGCUCUAUUAUCUGAUUGAUUCGAAUAAGCAACAAGUGAGGGGCGCAUUUUAUAAAGAACAGCUCAUCAAAACCAACAAAUUCGAAGAUGAUGCUUUUUACGCUGUCGAAAGAAUCAUCAGAAGAACUAGCAGCAAGGCUCUGGUGAAGGUAAUUGAUCAACUCGCGCAUAAUGGGUUGCUUUUAUACUAUCAUUUUAAAUUCUAGUUUCAAGGGUACAGAAAGAAUGUUUGGAUCCCCAAUGAAGAUUUUGAAACUGGACCAGAUGACCUGAACCAUGGAGUACGGUAGUAGUGGAGUGGAAAGCUCUCUGAAACCUCGCUAGAAGACGUUUCAGUUUUGCGUUACCUCCUAAUCAAGUACCUGAACA